GCUGUAGGUCAGUGUGUUAAAUUAAAGCGUUAUUGUAAUAUUGUUGCGUGUGUAAGUGUAGACUUAGGAAUUGAACAUCUGUCCAUGUCUGCCAAGUCAAGAGUAAGAGAUCAGAAUCAAGAAUAUCAAGAUCUUUGACAGCUGCUGCACUGGGCCUCUUCAUGGUUGAACGGAGAACAUCUUCCCCUCAGGGUACAUUUUCAAGAUCAUAUUGUAAGAGUGCAUCCAAACACGCCUAUCAUGAGCAUGACCACAGAGAGGUAGUCUGUGAACACGUCCCACCAUGGCUUCAGGACCCGGAAC